GAAGCUCAUGGCUGUCGAUCAAUACAUGAACAGGCUUCUUGCCUACUACUCCUCUCGUACCGGGGCUCCAAGCUAACAUUAGCCGAGAAUGCAGAGGGAGCUGCUCUUACAUCAGACUUUCAGAGGGUGCAGAGAGCAGUGUUUAGUCACCAAAGAAAGGAAAAGAGACAAUGUAAAAAGUUUCUUUUGUUUUGCAUUUAUUGUUCUGAAGAUGUUCACAAACUCUACUUUCAUUAAAAGUUGCUUGAUGUGUACGAUUA